UACUUAUAUUAAAACAAAACAAUUUUGGCCACUUGGCAUUUGCUUAAACCUGUUUUUGCCACCUGUCAACUUAAUAUUCCACACAAAUCUUCUUUGGGCGGCAAUCCAUUUCUCUCUCUCUCUCUCUCAAAUUCCCAAGAACCUAGAUCCAGAUUUUCUCUUUCUCUCUGUCUUUCUGUAUUCACCCUUAAAUCAAUGAAGAAGAACAUCGUUCCAUUUGGUGAUGUCGAUUCAAGCCUAAAUCGCCACAAUUUAUGCUCUUACAUCUUUCUCCAUGAUCUAGGGUCCAGACCAUAGACCAUUAAAGGAGGCCGACUAAACUAGGGUUUCGACUACUGAUCUAUUUCUGCACGUAUGUUCUUCAGACAAUCAAGAUCCGAUCAUCUAAUCGACGAUUUCGAUCAUUGCAACAUUAUCUUCUUGAAGAUUCGUUCAUCUAAUCGAUGAUAAAUUGAUAAAACCCACAAAUCGUUAUAGGAAUCUGCCGCCCCUCAUUCAAAUUUCUUCAGAUUCUUGAACAAUUGAGGUAAAUUUUUCUGCUUUACGCAUCUAAUAUUCCAUUUAAUCUGUUAACACACUCAUGCCCACCAACUGUUCGAUUAUUUGCUUCAAAGACCCAAACCCUAGAAAACACCAGAACUCCCAAAAUUUUUGUAUUCUUCAUAGAUAACUAGAUAAAUUUGAGUGAUUUAAUCUUUAUAAAGUAUACUAGCUCAAGUUCCAUCGCGGUGAAAUUGUAAACCAGGUAUUGUGUUUUCAUCGCUUCAAAUCUUCAAUGGAUGCUGACAAGUAUACUUGCUAUUUGCAGAUUAUUAUUUCAGUUUGCUUUUGGUAGUUGUUGACACUUAACAAUAAUAUGGGUUUUUUUUAUCUUGUAGGUUGAAUUCACCACAGACAUCAGCUGUUUUAUUUGAAGUUAUGGGAUACCGGUUAUAAUUUUGAGGCUAUUGGGUUGUAUCCAGGCAAAUUGACGAUGCUGGUGGUGAUGGAAGACGUCCAAUUCCUCCAACUUGAGCCGAAACUGUUUGGGGGUGAUUUUAAAGCAGGGCUAUUGGAUUUACAUGAUAUGGAUGGCACAAAUGUUCUUACAAAGGUAAGAUAUUGUAUGCAUUGCCAAGCACAUGUUAAGGGAUUUGACCACCGUGGCUCUAGGAAAUUGUAUAGGUAAUAUUAAAAAAGUUUAUUUAAAUUGUCUCGAUUGCAUUGUAAGUAUCAACUUUAAUUGAUUAGAUGCUAAUGUUAUCUUUUUAGUGCGGGUGAAAAUAUACAUCUACUUUUCAUGAUUCUCCUAGCUCGGUUUAUAACGCGUCACAUUAUGGGUUCAUCUAAAAGUAAGCUUCACAUGUUUUUCUUAAAUUUACAUUUUCAUCUUUGGAAGAUCAUCUUACUCAAAAAGGUUAAAAGUCUUUCAAAGUUAACUACGAUUGAACAAUAUAACUUUUGUAACCAAUUUUCACAAACUAAUUAUUUAUAAAUUUGAAAAAAAAAUAGAUCUUUGGAGAAAGAAUGUUUCAUCCUGCUCGAAAGUUACUAUUUUGACUCAAAACCGUUAUUUAAUCUAUUUUACUUGAUAUAUUAUUUGUUUUAACUUUUAAAAAAGGAUCAUUAUGAGUUUAUGACCAAAUAACAAGUAGAUGUUGCAGUAUUAUAGUAGGGAAUGCAAGAUAGUGCCACAAAGAAGGAGCAACAAGAAGCUCAACAAGCUUAUGGUUGACUCUGAUUCUAAAGUUCAGCUCUUAGCUCAUAAAAAUGAAAUUAUUGAUACAAGAUUGGAUAUAUUUUGAGGUUUAUGAACAAACGUUAUAAUUUUUCAUUUCUCUUUAAUGAUAUAUAAAGUAAAUAAUCUUAUAUGUACUUUCGUUUAUUAUAAGUAAUUAUAGUUUUUCAUAAGUGUCACACCACAAAAACGCUUCCGGAAGAUUAGGUUGAGAGAGUAUAUCAGAUUCAUGAGUCUGGAAGUCAUGGAUCAAGAGGGUAUGGGUAUGCCUAGAAAGAGAGGAAGCAAAUAAAAACUUACUACGAACUCAUACAACUGCGGUUUCCUCAAGGAUGUUGUACCCACAUGCAAAGAAACCUUUCGAAGCCAAAAGGUACUAUAGUAUUGAUCGGGUCUUCAGAAAUGUGGCUGUUGACCGGACCCACCUAGCUGAGUUUCAUCAAAUAGAAGGGUUAAUAUGUGAUCGUGGACUAAGUCUCGGGGAUUUGCAAGGCGUGUUGCUUGACUUCUUCUCCUGUUUGGGAAUGUCCAAGUUGCAUUUCAAGCCGGCUUACAAUCCGUACACUGAGCCGAGCAUGGAAAUAUUCGGGCUUAAAGAAAUGGGUUGAAGUAGGAAAUUCUGGAAUGUUCAGACCUGAAACAUUACUUCCUAUGUGCAGCAGUUUUCAGUUUAUGUGGCAGCGUGUUUAUGUAGUCGUUCUUGCUAGCUGUUGGAUCAGGAAUUGCAUUUUGACAGGAUAUACAAGCGAUGUUCAUAGGGGGUCAAAGUUUGGGCUUCAGCUGUUCAGUAUUGUCACUCGGGUUACAUCCUUUUGGGUCUCCUGGUGCAAUGUCCAUCAUUUGAGUUGGGUUUUAUGUUGACUGGCUUCGGGUUUGUUACAUCCCAGGUUUGCUAUACCGGAUCAUUAGUUUUGGUUUGCAGUCCAAAAUCCUUAUCAUGAUAUAUGGGCCUCGGUUUUGGCACCUGUUUCGUACCUUCUAAUCACUGAUACAUCGGAUCCCAUUUCAACUUUAAUUGAUUUUGUGUAUCCUUCAAUUCUUGAAAACUUCAACAAUCAGAAUUAUUUCAGUGAGAGGGCUAUGCUUGCAUCUGGAUAUAUUACAUUAUUUGUCUCAUUGUAGUUUACUAAUUUAUUAUUACUUGAACGGUUAUUUAAUUCAAACGAUUACUUCAAUAAAUUAAAGUUAUUCA